AUUGAACGCUGGCGGCAUGCUUUACACAUGCAAGUCGAACGGCAGCAUGGGUGCUUGCACCUGAUGGCGAGUGGCGAACGGGUGAGUAAUGUAUCGGAACAUAUCCGCAAGUGGGGGAUAACGUAGCGAAAGUUACGCUAAUACCGCAUAUUCCCUGAGGGGGAAAGGAGGGGAUCCGCAAGGACCUUUCGCUUACGGAGUGGCCGAUAUCAGAUUAGCUAGUUGGUGGGGUAAAGGCCUACCAAGGCGACGAUCUGUAGCGGGUCUGAGAGGAUGAUCCGCCACACUGGGACUGAGACACGGCCCAGACUCCUACGGGAGGCAGCAGUGGGGAAUUUUGGACAAUGGGGGCAACCCUGAUCCAGCCAUGCCGCGUGAGUGAAGAAGGCCUUCGGGUGUAAAGCUCUUUCAGCUGGAAAAAAAUCGCAUCACCUAAUACGUGGUGUGGAUGACGGUACCAGCAGAAUAAGCACCGGCAAACUCUGUGCCAGCAGCCGCCGUAA
rnacentral:rRNA from 1 species